CCCUUUUCUCCUGCGACCCCAAUCUGGCCUGGCUCUCCCUUUAUUCCAGGUGGUCCAUCCCUUCCUGGCAGUCCAUGAGGUCCAGGAGGUCCCAUUUCUCCUGGCUUGCCUCGUGGUCCCUUUUCUCCAUCAUGGCCUGGAGGACCCGGUAAGCCAAUUUCACCCUUCUGUCCUGGUGGCCCUGGAGGUCCAGCCACACCUGGAAGUCCUGGCGGUCCCAUCAAGGCCAAGGUUCGUAUUUCCUGGAGAGCUUCACUGAUGUUACCAUCAUAGUCCAUCAUUUCAUCCUUUCCAGGCUCUCCUUUGGGGCCCCUUGGCCCCAUGGGUCCCUGCUCUCCCGGUGCACCACGUUCUCCCU
rnacentral:lncRNA from 1 species